rnacentral:lncRNA from 1 species
AAGAAUAAAAUUCCCCAGAGAAAGUGGAAAAUGGAAAGAAGAAAUAAGAAAGGAAGAGACAGAGAGGAAGAAGGAGAGGGAGAGAGAAAUUUGGGUAACAGUCUAUGGGUCUGGGGCUAUUUGGUUGUUAUCCAUAUCACACUGGAUAACAGAAGAGUGAACCUCACAACUACAGACCAUAAAAAGAGCAAUAGCAUCACCGUCUAAAAAGCUAACAUCCUGAACAUCAUUCUACUGCACCUCCAAGCAUCAUCCAGAUGCUUAAAAUCAAGCCAAGGAUAUUUACUGAAGAGCUGCACCAAUGGAAAGCCCAUUGCAGUAGGGAUAAGGACUCAACAACCACAUCACUGGACCUCCUGCGCUACCCGAAGCUCAAAACUGAAAGCAUUCCAAAGCUGAGUGAUGCUAGCACAACUUGAAGACAGUCCCCAUGAGCCAACUGAAGAGACCCUCAGAGAGAAGAGAUUCCCAAAUUGUGCCGGAUACUCAGAGAUUAGAGCAUGGUUGGCCAAUGGAAUGUCUCAAGUCCACCAGCUUUAUGGAAUCCCUCAUUUUGUUUUGUCUACUCGUCUGGAAAGAGUCAUUCAGAAUGCAAGGCAGGAUCUCCGACUCCAGAAGUAAUCCCUUGAUGUAGACUUCUAAAUCCUCAUGCAAAUGAAGACUUAAGAAUAGAUCUCAGAGUGAAUAGAGGUCACAGAUGUACCAGAUCUGUCAAGUGCUAAGAAAGCUGGAACACUAUUGUAGUAUCUGUAUACUUUUAAGUUUUACAAAUCUGGAACCAGUGACAUUCUCUUUUUCACAAAGGUAACUGUUUACCACCACAGCCUCGUCUACAUAAUGUCCGUCAAAAGAGAAACUGUUGACAAAUGAACGUUUACACAAGGGGCAGCAUGAACAGUGAGCGACCACAAGCUUAUGAUGAAACUCAGCAGACAAGCAAAGAAAAUAACAUUAACUUGGGUUUCCUUAUAUGGUGGAAGUCUGCUCAUUUCAGACUUGUCAACAUGUGAAGAUACUGGAUUCUCUAAAGUAAAUCCAUUGGCAUCACCUGAAUCUUACUGCUGUUUAUACAAGCUCACUUUGCAUGGCUAACACAACAACACACAUGGCAUGUAUACUAAGAAUUAUGUUCACAUUUUAUAAGUAGGUAAUAAAAAAUUGGAAUUAAAUUUGAAGAUGAGAUGA